CCUACGGGUGGCAGCAGUGAGGAAUAUUGGUCAAUGGGCGGAAGCCUGAACCAGCCAAGUCGCGUGAGGGAUUAAGGCCCUGCGGGUCGUAAACCUCUUUUGCCGGGGAGCAGAGGUCCGGACGUGUCCGGGCCGGGAGAGUACCCGGAGAAAAAGCAUCGGCUAACUCCGUGCCAGCAGCCGCGGUAAUACGGAGGAUGCGAGCGUUAUCUGGAUUUAUUGGGUUUAAAGGGUGCGUAGGCGGGCUGUUAAGCCGGCGGUAAAAAUUCAGGGCUCAACCCUGUCGAGCCGUCGGAACUGGCAGUCUUGAGUGGGCGAGAAGUAUGCGGAAUGCGUGGUGUAGCGGUGAAAUGCAUAGAUAUCACGCAGAACGCCGAUUGCGAAGGCAGCAUACCGGCGCCCGACUGACGCUGAGGCACGAAAGCGUGGGGAUCGAACAGGAUUAGAUACCCUUGUAGUC
rnacentral:rRNA from 1 species